rnacentral:rRNA from 1 species
UGGGGAAUAUUGGACAAUGGGCGAAAGCCUGAUCCAGCAAUACCACGUGAGUGAUGAAGGCCUUCGGGUUGUAAAGCUCUUUCAGCAAGGAAGAUAAUGACGGUACUUGCAGAAGAAGCACCGGCUAACUCCGUGCCAGCAGCCGCGGUAAUACGGAGGGUGCUAGCGUUGUUCGGAAUUACUGGGCGUAAAGGGCGCGUAGGCGGCAAGUUAAGUUGCAAGUGAAAUCCCAGGGCUUAACCCUGGAACUGCUUGCAAAACUGAUUUGCUAGAGUUAGGUAGAGGAUAGUAGAAUUCCCAAUGUAGAGGUGAAAUUCGUAGAUAUUGGGAGGAAUACCAGAAGCGAAGGC